rnacentral:rRNA from 1 species
AGCGAACGUUAGCGGCGCGCCUAACACAUGCAAGUCGCACGAGAAAGGGAGCAAUCCCCGGUACAGUGGCGCACGGGUGAGUAACACGUAGAUGACCUUCCCUGGAGUGGUGGAUAACCUGCCGAAAGGCGGGCUAAUACAGCAUGGGACCACAUGGUUUUUGACCGAGUGGUGAAAGCGGGCCUCUGUUCACAAGCUCGCGCUCUGGGAUGGGUCUGCGUCCCAUCAGCUAGUUGGUGAGGUAAUGGCUCACCAAGGCAUCGACGGGUAGCUGGUCUGAGAGGAUGACCAGCCACACUGGAACUGAGACACGGUCCAGACUCCUACGGGAGGCAGCAGUGGGGAAUCUUGCGCAAUGGGCGAAAGCCUGACGCAGCGACGCCGCGUGGGUGAUGAAGGCCUUC